rnacentral:rRNA from 1 species
GACGAACGCUGGCGGCGUGCUUAACACAUGCAAGUCGAACGGUAGGGCCCUUCGGGGUACACGAGUGGCGAACGGGUGAGUAACACGUGGGUGGUCUGCCCUGCACUUCGGGAUAAGCCUGGGAAACUGGGUCUAAUACCGGAUAGGACCACUGCCUGCAUGGGUGGUGGUGGAAAGCUUUUGCGGUGUGGGAUGGGCCCGCGGCCUAUCAGCUUGUUGGUGGGGUGAUGGCCUACCAAGGCGACGACGGGUAGCCGGCCUGAGAGGGUGACCGGCCACACUGGGACUGAGAUACGGCCCAGACUCCUACGGGAGGCAGCAGUGGGGAAAAUUGCACAAUGGGCGCAAGCCUGAUGCAGCGACGCCGCGUGAGGGAUGACGGCCUUCGGGUUGUAAACCUCUUUCAGCACCGACGAAGCGCAAGUGACGGUAGGUGCAGAAGAAGGACCGGCCAACUACGUGCCAGCAGCCGCGGUAA